GAUGAACGCUGGCGGCGUGCCUAACACAUGCAAGUCGAGUGAUCUCUUCGGAGAGAGCGGCGGACGGGUGAGUAACGCGUGGGUAACCUGCCCUGUACACACGGAUAACAUACCGAAAGGUAUACUAAUACGGGAUAACAUACGAAAGUCGCAUGGCUUUUGUAUCAAAGCUCCGGCGGUACAGGAUGGACCCGCGUCUGAUUAGCUAGUUGGUAAGGUAAUGGCUUACCAAGGCAACGAUCAGUAGCCGACCUGAGAGGGUGAUCGGCCACACUGGAACUGAGACACGGUCCAGACUCCUACGGGAGGCAGCAGUGGGGAAUAUUGCACAAUGGGCGAAAGCCUGGUGCAGCAACGCCGCGUGAGCGAUGAAGGCCUUCGGGUCGUAAAGCUCUGUCCUCAAGGAAGAUAAUGACGGUACUUGAGGAGGAAGCCCCGGCUAACUACGUGCCAGCCGCCGCCGUAACAC
rnacentral:rRNA from 1 species